rnacentral:rRNA from 1 species
UUGAAGAGUUUGAUCAUGGCUCAGAUUGAACGCUGGCGGCAGGCCUAACACAUGCAAGUCGAGCGGUAGCACAGAGAGCUUGCUCUCGGGUGACGAGCGGCGGACGGGUGAGUAAUGUCUGGGAAACUGCCUGAUGGAGGGGGAUAACUACUGGAAACGGUAGCUAAUACCGCAUAACGUCGCAAGACCAAAGAGGGGGACCUUCGGGCCUCUUGCCAUCAGAUGUGCCCAGAUGGGAUUAGCUAGUAGGUGGGGUAACGGCUCACCUAGGCGACGAUCCCUAGCUGGUCUGAGAGGAUGACCAGCCACACUGGAACUGAGACACGGUCCAGACUCCUACGGGAGGCAGCAGUGGGGAAUAUUGCACAAUGGGCGCAAGCCUGAUGCAGCCAUGCCGCGUGUAUGAAGAAGGCCUUCGGGUUGUAAAGUACUUUCAGCGGGGAGGAAGGCGAUAAGGUUAAUAACCUUGUCGAUUGACGUUACCCGCAGAAGAAGCACCGGCUAACUCCGUGCCAGCAGCCGCGGUAAUACGGAGGGUGCAAGCGUUAAUCGGAAUUACUGGGCGUAAAGCGCACGCAGGCGGUCUGUCAAGUCGGAUGUGAAAUCCCCGGGCUCAACCUGGGAACUGCAUUCGAAACUGGCAGGCUAGAGUCUUGUAGAGGGGGGUAGAAUUCCAGGUGUAGCGGUGAAAUGCGUAGAGAUCUGGAGGAAUACCGGUGGCGAAGGCGGCCCCCUGGACAAAGACUGACGCUCAGGUGCGAAAGCGUGGGGAGCAAACAGGAUUAGAUACCCUGGUAGUCCACGCCGUAAACGAUGUCGACUUGGAGGUUGUGCCCUUGAGGCGUGGCUUCCGGAGCUAACGCGUUAAGUCGACCGCCUGGGGAGUACGGCCGCAAGGUUAAAACUCAAAUGAAUUGACGGGGGCCCGCACAAGCGGUGGAGCAUGUGGUUUAAUUCGAUGCAACGCGAAGAACCUUACCUACUCUUGACAUCCAGAGAACUUAGCAGAGAUGCUUUGGUGCCUUCGGGAACUCUGAGACAGGUGCUGCAUGGCUGUCGUCAGCUCGUGUUGUGAAAUGUUGGGUUAAGUCCCGCAACGAGCGCAACCCUUAUCCUUUGUUGCCAGCGGUUAGGCCGGGAACUCAAAGGAGACUGCCAGUGAUAAACUGGAGGAAGGUGGGGAUGACGUCAAGUCAUCAUGGCCCUUACGAGUAGGGCUACACACGUGCUACAAUGGCGCAUACAAAGAGAAGCGACCUCGCGAGAGCAAGCGGACCUCAUAAAGUGCGUCGUAGUCCGGAUUGGAGUCUGCAACUCGACUCCAUGAAGUCGGAAUCGCUAGUAAUCGUAGAUCAGAAUGCUACGGUGAAUACGUUCCCGGGCCUUGUACACACCGCCCGUCACACCAUGGGAGUGGGUUGCAAAAGAAGUAGGUAGCUUAACCUUCGGGAGGGCGCUUACCACUUUGUGAUUCAUGACUGGGGUGAAGUCGUAACAAGGUAACCGUAGGGGAACCUGCGGUUGGAUCACCUCCUU